ensembl:lncRNA
UCAGAACAUAUGGGGUCAGCAGCAGAGGGCUGGCUUUACACAUGAGAAAUCAAAAAGAUUUUCAAAACAAUGUUUUAUGUAUGGCAGGUAGUAUUAGCUAAAAUGUACACGUUACAGAGCUGGUAGGUAACAAAGAGGAUGUAACAGGCAGAACGACUGUGAAAAUUGAAAUAAAUAUGGAUUCAGGGUGCAACAAAGGGCAUUUCAAAUUGCAGAAAUAAGUAAUUCAAACCCAGGGGAAACCGGCCAGCAGUUCGGUUGAGUGCGUCUUUGACAUGAAUGUGUGCAGUGGCGGAGGGGUCUGCAGAAAAGCCGGCCCGCCGUCCAGCUGGCUCGCUCGGCCCCUCCCUUCGCAGCCCAGAGAAACUCGCUUUUCCGGUUUUUCUCUCUCCAGUGAGCAUGCGCCUGCGGGUCUCUGCGCGUGCGCAUCGCGCCUGGCCCGCCCCCCCCCGACCCCGUAACUCGGGCACAGGAGGGUAAAUAGCGCGUGGUUGCUCGUACAGGAAAGACCCAAAAUGUGAAUUAAAGAGCAAGGCGAAAGGUAGAUGACCAGGCACCGGGAGGCAGACCCCGCGGACACGUAGCGUCGUAAGCGCUGUGCGCACGCCCGGGUCUCGCGGGGCUGCGCCGCCCAGCUCCGGACGCCAGGAGGCGCUGUGGGACCGCGCCGCCCCCGCCCAACCGCCGCGACCGCCGUGAGCAUGCGCGGACGCCCUGCGCGCGGGCCGUGGUGGUGCGGUGCGCAUGGGUGGGCCCUUCCUGAGGACCUGAGGCCACGAGGCCCCGAGGCUGUGGCGGUCCCGCUGGUUUAGUCCUCCUGGGCCCCUCGGGCAGGGCAAGGGAGUGUCCCCGGUAUCGGGUCCGCGUCUGCCUCCUCUGCCGCGGGCUCCCCCCAUCCCCGCUGAACUGCUGUUCUUUUGUUUUGAGACUGGGUCUCGCUUUGUAGCCCAGACUGGCCUGGAACUCGGGGCGAUCCUCCUCCCUCAGCCUCCGCAGUGCUGGGAUGACACUCGGUUGGAGCUGACAGUUGAAGCAGCCUGACCGCCACCGCAGUCAGAGGAGCAGUGUCCCCAUGCCGCGGGGCGGAGGUCCUGCAGCGCCUCCCUCUGCCUCGCACUCCCUCCGUUACUCUCGGCUGGUUCUUUGGCUUCGGUUUUAUCAUUUGUCCUUUGAGUUACAGGGCCGGUUUCGGGGUUGGGAGAGACCCUCUGGGCCACUCUUUAGGUGACUCCACAGACCUGCCACUUGAACACACCCGUGUCACGAGCGACUGGAGCAACGCCUGGGACAAAGGGGAGCAAGCGAGGGGUCAAUGGAGCCACGCAGGGUCGCGGGGCUGAGGCAGGAGGCUGCCACCAGCUCUUCUGCUUGAAAACACCCCGGGGUGGGGCUGCCGGCUCUUCUCCCAUCGCUUUCAUCGCUGCGCCUUGAGCUGGGGCCACCGCGGCACUGCUGGCUUGGACAGUGUCCCCAAGCACUCUUGCGUGGGAAAGUCAACCUCCAGAUGAUAGAUUCACCGGUGGCCUUUGGAGGCGAGAGUGCUGGGAGGAGAGAGGGUCAGACAAGGUCCACAUGACAUCCGUGUCUUUCUGGGAAGAGGAGAGGAGACCCCAGUGACACUGCGACCCAGUCGGACCUCAUAGAAGCUGAGCAGUGCUGGUGCAGAGCUCUCGGACUUCCUGGCCUCCAGAACUUUGAGAUAGGACAUGUGCUUUAUAAAUGACCCAGCCUCGGGUGCUUUGUAAUAGCAACAGGAAGUGGACUAAGACAAAGCAAAAGUAAACCAGGUGUUGGGAAAUAGGAGAGGAGAACUGGAGAAAACUGACCCGUCUGGUGAGCUUGACACUGCAUGCAUGAGACGGGAUCACCAGUGGGGCUGAGGAGAGGACCCUCCAGGGUGUUUCUGCAAUAAUCCAGGUGCGAAUGGUGCUGCUUGGACAGGCAGUGGCGGCAGCACAGAGACAAGAGGCAAAUCCUGGGCAGGUUUUGAAGGCGCCUCAAAGGAACUGCCUGAGGGACUGGACGUGUGGACGUGUGGGGUGGAGAAAGAGGAGCUGCCGGUGACGCCACAGUUACUGGAGGACUAAAGCUGUCGAGGAGUAGGCCUGGGGAGGUCACCCCAUUUCUGCAGAGGACACAGCACCACUCUGUCGCAUGGAAGGCUGGGAAUGACGGUGUCUUUGGCAUCUGGCAGCACUGGAGCAUGGGGCAGCAUCCAGGGAGGCCCCCUGACCUGCUGGAAGGAGCCCCAUUUCCACUUCCCCAGCGCCCUCCAGAGGUUGGAAAGAGCAGCGGCACUCGUCCUCAAGGGCAGUUCUCUGUGGAACGGCGGGGAGGUCGGUCUGGGGAGGGAGGCCCUGUGUGAGGUAGAUGACAGGGACACAAAGGGAAUUCCAGCAGGGACCGUCAGAAGCCGCCUCAUACGCAUCUUCGGCCGCGUGAACGGAGGGACACUCGCGUGACGGUGCACAUGGGAAAACGUGCACUCACGUGUAUUUGUUUAUUGGAGCCGGGGCUCAAAGCACAGGCUGGUGCUGAAAAGGAUAAAGUCAGUGAGAGUCAGAGGAGAAAACUCUCCUGAAAGAGCAAGUUCUGAGCCAGAUCUGGAUCAUGAGGUGAAAUGAAUGAAAACCCACAGAAAAAGGCAUGAGAAAGGCAGAGAGGUGGUGAAAACAGCCCACUGAAGGACAAAAUCCAGUGGCAGUGAAACAAGAGCAUGAGUCAUAGUGACUUGUGAAAGAAGGAAGGUGCACAGCAGUUUUAUUAACAAUGCACAAACCAGAAGCGACCUCAGCUUCAUCACCUCAUAAAUGGACGAGCGGUACAGACUCCAAUGGAGAUCACUCAACAACAGAAAGAAUUGAGUCACUGAUGCUUGCUCUGGCACACGUGAACCCAGAAAACAUUAUGCUCAGUGAUAAAACUCAGCCAUAAAGGUAUAAAUGUUGUGUCCACUCUGUGUGACAUCCCUAGAACAGGGAAAUUGCAGAAAGAAAAAACAGGUUGGUGGUUUCCUAGCCUGGGUUAAUGUGAUGAAAAUGUUCUAAAACCAACUGUGGUGAUGGUUAUGCAGCUGUGAGUAUACAAAGACUAAGUUUUACAAUUUAAACUGGGGGUUCCUUAUCAAAGUUGUGUUUAAUAAAAUUUAGUGGCAAAACCUAGACAUUCUUAAAUCUCUUUUUGGACACAAACACUGUACAUGACCUGAAUAUCUCUAUACUUUUUUUUUCCUUUGGGGGUACUGAGGAUCGAACUCAGGACCUUGGGCUUGCAAGGCAGGCACGGUGCCACUGAGCUAAAUCCCUGGCCCUCUAUACUUUUUAACAGUAUGUCUAAAAUGAAAAGAAGGUGAAGGAAAUGCCUUGAUUUUUAAAAGUACCUUUUUUUCUUGAGACAUGGUUUUGCUUUGUAGUUCAGGAUGCCUUUGAACUCACUGUGCAGGUCAGGCUGGCCC